CCACACCAAGUGGUGGGAAAAUCUACAACUUGGGGAUUCAGGAUGCAUGACACAGAGGAGGGGCAUUAUUUCCUGAGUUUUAUUUGAAAUUGUUAAUAUCAGAGAGCUAGGGAAACACAACAUGGCUGAACUUGUCCUUAUAUGUUCCCAAAAGCAAACUAGUAUUUUUUUUUACUUGAUAUUAUUAGAAACACAAAAUGUGAAUUUUUUUGUGUGUAGUUGAGUGUCACCAGAGACCAGGAUGAAAAUGGUAAGGCUCCAGAGCCAACCUGGGCUGAUGAUCUGCCUGCCACUACCUCAUCUGAGGCCACCACCGCCACCAGGCCACUGCUCAGGACCCCUGUGGGUGGGGCAGAGGAUCCUAGAUGUUUGGAAGCCUUGAAGCCUGGAAACUGUGGUGAAUAUGUGGUUCGAUGGUAUUAUGACAAACAGGUCAACUCUUGUGCCCGAUUUUGGUUCAGUGGCUGUAAUGGCUCAGGAAAUAGAUUCAACAGUGAAAAGGAAUGUCAAGAAACCUGCAUUCAAGGAUAAGGAAGUCUACCCUCAUUCAAUUCAACAGUGCAAAAAGGAACACUCAAGAAGGAGAUGGAAGAAUAGCCAUCUUAGCAGAAAUAAUGAUAUAUAUAAUUUUUUUAUUUAAUUAAAAUUGUGUUAUGUAAUAUUUGAUACUACAAAAGAAGAUAAUGUAUCAUGCUUGUCAUUUUAAAAACACAAUAAGAUGAACACCAGUGAACACAUCACCUAGAGAAUGAAGCAGACAUCACAAAUUCUACCGAAGCUUCCCGUGUGGCCCUCCGCCAUCCCAGCCCUCUGUUCCGUGCCAGGGAUAUCCCAUUUUGAACUUCGUGUUUACCACGUCAAUGUGCUGUUGACUUUUAUAGGUAAUUUUACAUGUAAAAUUCUAUAUAUCUCUAUGUGUCACUAAACAAUAAAUAUUUAGCCUUGCUUAUUU